rnacentral:miRNA from 1 species
AGCUGGUGCAGAGGGAGCAGGUAGCCGGGGUCCUGCCCUCAGCACCAACCUGCCUGCCCUCCAG